AUCAGUUUCUAUUUCUCCAUAUUGAGUCUCCAAACUCAUGUUUUUAGAAAUACCAUGAUAUGUGGUAAUUUAUUUCUAAAAUUUUAUGCCUAUUCUAGAAAAAGUAGGAUAUGAUUUGGAUAGGUUUUACUGGACUGCUCUGGACACUUGACCAUGAUAAAUAACAUUAUUUUCAGAGAUUCAUUCAAAAUUUUAAUUUCCCCAAAAAGAAAAUGGUACAUACCAGUUUCUUGACAUGAAACUUCUUAUACCACAAUAUUAAGACUCUUAAAUUUCAUAUACACACAAAAUGCUAAAAGUAAUUUCAUGAUGCAAAACCCCAUAGAUAAUUAAAUUUUUAUUUCAGUGUUUGUAAGUCAAAUUUUACAAACACAUGUAACAAAUAAGAACAUUAUGUUCCAAAAUCCCUGAUCCUGUAUUUUUAUAACAUUCUAUUGCAUAAAUAGGGAAAAUAGAAGACAAGUCUUGACAGAGAGAUAUAAACCUUAAGGGUAAGUCAGAAAGUGAAUAACAACCACCUAUAUAAUCAAGAAUCUGCUCUACUAAACUUUGACCAUCUACAAUUGAUUUUAGGCAUUCAGAAAGCAUUUGGAUAUACUUAUCCAUCUGGCCCCUUUACCCAAUAUUUACAUUGAAGUUCAGUAAGUUCAAUAAUUAAACACUGUGUGCGUGGUGUAGUUCAUCAUUAUUCUGAUUAAUAUUUCCAAAGCCAUGUGAGGUUAAGACUUAUUAUAACCCAUAUUCAGAUGAAAAAAUUAAGACAGGAUGAAUAACUAAACUGAUGAUAUAAAGAGAAAAAUUAGUAUUGGAUUCAAGUCUAGUAGGACUCUUCAACUCAGGUGGUUAGUUGUUGCAUUAGAAUGAUGCCCUGGUGAUAGUUGUUAACAGACCUCCAAAGGCCAUGUCUUUGUCUCCUUGACAGCAUUCUAGAAACUAUUAUCAAUUUACUCCUUCCUUUUCAUGAAUAUUUCUAUUCUUUGGCACAAAUUAGGGGGGUGGUGGUGAUUUCUUCUGCUGUAUUUAUAAGGUCCAGCAAAGUCGGUCCAUUUUCUUGUGCCAUUGUUAUGAAGGAAGAAAGUGAUUUUUUUUGUUAUAGUGAAUUAUUUCAUUCUUGUGAGGCAGAGCAAAAAGAAAGAUAGCGAGGAAGGGAACAUGAAAUCUCAUUUGGGGAUAAAGAAAACAACUAUUUCAAAUAGUAUGUAAUUGUGUAUAAGUAAAUGGGUGUGGAAUAAAAAUGUAGAAUGUAAUUAAAACAUUUGAAAUAUCUCAGCAAAAAUAACACAUAGAGAUCCUGUGUUCCCACAUCUUUACCACCCUCCUCUCUCAAGCCGCUGGCUUAGUACACCAAAACAUCCCUCCUUUAAAGAAAAAUAAGUGGAAAUAAAGAGAGCAACCCAGCAUCAAGAAGAGAAAAAAGUGAGAAUAACAUAUUGGGAACAGAAACUGCAGUCUAACUAGUGCCUCCCCACCUUCAUUACCAUCCUUCCAAAUAAAUCUCCCUGCUCCUCUUGAGCUGGCAAAUAAAAAAAUCAACCCACAAGAUAUAUGUGUGUGCUUCUCCUGAUGAGCAUCACCAUCCAUCUACAGUACGUCCCACAUGCCAGUUUGAAGAUGGGCUAGAGGGAGAAUUAAAGACUUCAGAAAGUCCACAGCAUAAUCAAGAAGGCUUUUUUCUUCUGACUACACAGCUUUCAUCUCUGUCUUGUGUGAUUUUCUCUCCAUCUCCUUCAGUCUACGGCAAAGAUGCUGAUUGCUGACGGGACAAUAACGAAUCAUAUACCUAACCUUCCAGGGCAACCAAUUGGUUUCCAAUAUAUGGCACGAACGCUUUUGAUAGGUUUCAUUUUGGCAAGGACUGUUAGUUCAGGUGUAGCCACACUGACACAUUAGAAUCCUGAAUUCUGAGGUUUUAAAAGAUGAUGUCCAAUUUCAAAUGCAUUUUUUAAAUUUCAAAUAUAAAAUAGCUUUCAAAGUACUAUGGCAAGGUACAGACGUUGCUUCAGAUUAGGGCAAAAUUCAGUGGCCGUACUAAAUAUUUGGUCUGAACUAGAUGGACAUUUUCCUUUGUUUGUUUUUAUCUCAGUACAGGUAACCCUCCUCUAAAAAGUAAUAUUUAUCAUUGUUGAGACUUGAUGGCGUGUGGUAAGAUCCCUAAGAAAUAAUUAAUUCUAAUUCUCCAUACUUGCUGGGAUCCUUUCUAUGAUAUCCUAGUAUGGGUUCCAUUUUGGACUUCUCUAAUUAUUUAAAAGUUCUUUGUUACAUGGAGUUUGUGAUUUUGCUUACCAAUACUAAUUCCAUGUUAGAAAAAGUUGAUUCUGUCUUUCGUAUAGCUGCCCUUCAAGCAUUUGAGGAAAAUACCAUGGCUCACCUGAGAUUUCUUUUCUCUGCGUUAAACACCUUUAGGUUCCAGAAUUUUGUUUUCUAGCUGUUUCUACUACUACUACCUCUCCAUGGCAGACAAUGCUAAUCACAAUCCUCAUGUCUACUGACCUGAGCCCAAGAUCCCUUUCCACAUAGCUCUCCAAGCAGUCACUAUUCCAUUUGAAUUGUAAGUUGAAACCUAUUUACUAACCUUGGUAUUUUGGUUUCAAUAUGAUAAAGUUCAGGGAAGAUGGACAUGGAAAAUGGAUUAAAGCUCUUUAAUAAUUUGAACAUGCUGUAGUUUGGGUACUGGUCCAAGGUUGAUGUCACUCUAUUUCAAAUUGAAUUAAGGAAUUAUAUAGAAUGUCAACUGUGCCCUUGAUAAUGCAGCUUCCAUUAAAAAGAACUGUUUCUGAACAGAUCGUUGGGGUCAAAAUACCCAUAUUUGGCAAGAUUCUCAGUGCUAAGUUAUUAAAAGAACCAGACAAUGAAAGUGAAUGACUGAGUGAUAUCUGUAAACAUUAUAUCAGAACUUUGGUUUGGCUUAGUUUAAGCAAUGAUUAAUUAGCUUUUAUCCAUUGUUAUUCAAGUUCACAGAUUUCAAAGCUGUGUCAAACACUUAGAAUCUAGAAUAUCCUUCUUUGAUAGCAAUCUAUACCUUAACUUCAUGGCAGGUUUCAUUUAGGAGUUCUACUUCUUUAUAAAAUACUUAUAGAAGAUUUUUAGAAGAAAAUAUUGCUUAGAAACUUAAUCUUCUUUUAUACUCCUCAUCAUCUUCUGCCAAAAGAACUGGAGAAUGUUCUAUCUUUGUUGCAUGAGAUCAUGCAUAUCUACUGCCAAACUUCAGAGAGGCCACCUAGAGUACAUAUUUCUCCAUCUGUCAGGACCAGGAAACCAUCGAAAUUUGUGGAUGAAUGAUCAUUAAUACAAUUUUGUGGCUCUUUCUCUGGGUGCAAGUUUUUGUGAAAAAGUUAGGCAUUCAAAGAGAGUGACUAUCUGAGGUAAGUAUACUCAUUAGGUUUGAUUACUUUUUUAACAGUCAAAUUUCCUUCAAAAAGUAGCAGAACACUUAAUAUCUCCCCACUUGACCUAUAUAUUCUAUACACGCUGGUGGCACAGACUGGAUACAAAUCAAAUAUCUCUGCUUGUGGCUGGAGUUCUAUGUAAUACCAGUUUGUUUACUUAGAAUGAUGGCCCAAAUGUCUUUGCUUAAAAAAAAAA
rnacentral:lncRNA from 1 species